UACGUAGGGGGCAAGCGUUGUCCGGAUUCAUUGGGCGUAAAAGAGCGUGUAGGCGGCCAGGUAGGUCGGUUGUGAAAAACUGGAGGCUCAACCUUCAGAGGUCGACCGAAACCAUCUGGCUAGAGUCCGGGAGAGGAGAGUGGAAUUCCUGGUGUAGCGGUGAAAAUGCGCAGAUAUCAGGAAGAACACCCCGUGGCGAAAAGCGGCUCUCUGGAAACGGGUACUGACG
rnacentral:rRNA from 1 species